UUGGAUAAUGGAAAUGUUUCCAGGGCAGCCUACCUUCUCUUGGGACUUUUGGAUCAACUGCAUUCCACAAGAUCCCUUCUGAGGGCCUAGAAUAGUUCCUUUCAGAAAAAGCCUCCAUGACACUGAAAGGGGUCAUAGGUCUGGGGUCCAGAGACAACCUGCUCCUGAAGCAGUUUCAGUUUCAAAGAAAGUAGAUCCUAGUACAUGGAAUUUCCUUAAGACCAUCUGAGGCCUCAGUUUUGAGCACCUGGCUACUGACAGUGUCAAUCUUCAUACAGUUCAUUGUCCUAUUUGAUCUUAACAAUUUAGUGAGGUUCAUCAGAAUUCAAGGGGUUACAAAAGUAGCAAAAGACCAUGCUUUCCUUAAGGUCCUUCUAGUAAAUAUUCACUUAGCGGGAGCUCUGUGCCAGGCACUGCACAAGGUACAGGGGAUGUAAGAAUGAAAGAGUGACUAAAACAUCCAGUUUUGGAAUUCCCAUGCCCGUGAGUGGUUCUGGGUGGUCUGAAGGGGCUACAAAAACCGGAGAGCUGCAAACACUUCAGCCUUGCAGACAGUGGCUUGGGAUUAAAUACUCACCCUUUUCCUUGAGCCAAGGUUUGUCCAAUAGCCACAGAGCCCUUCAGCCAAACCUCACCCUGGCAGAGUUUCAACCAGCAGACAAAGCUGCCAAAGGCAGGUUGGGCACUAGCUUAGGGCUAUUCCGAGCAGGGAACAGGCAUGUGCCUUCUGCCCAGGGAGUCUUAUGACUCCCUUCAGGGAAUCUAAGGCAAGUGAAGGAGAUGGUUCAGCUCUGAGAUGAAGAGGCAGCUGCUCAGCUGGAGUCCUUCCCAACUAAAAAAUCUGUGAUUGGAGACAUGUCUGAAGACACAGGAGACCCUCCUAACACCAGUCUGAUACAAGUUCAGAAUUGACUGAAGGUCACCAUCAAACCCUGAGGACCUUCUCUGUGAGCCAUUCAACCUUCCUUCUGGUUUCUUUUUCAUAAGGUGUCAAAGCCUGUCAGGAUAAAGUCUCUUGAUGCCAAGAACACAUCAUUUAUCACCAGUGGAACUGUGUUUAACCUGUUUGAUAUCUGUACUUAUUAUAUGUAUAUAAUCCUGUAAAAUCUG